rnacentral:rRNA from 1 species
GCUGGCGGCAGGCCUAACACAUGCAAGUCGAACGGCACCCUUCGGGGUUAGUGGCGGACGGGUGAGUAACACGUGGGAACGUGCCUUUUGGUUCGGAACAACUUAGGGAAACUGGAACUAAUGCCGAAUGCGCCCUUCGGGGGAAAGAUUUAUCGCCAUUAGAGCGGCCCGCGUCUGAUUAGCUUGUUGGUGAGGUAAUGGCUCACCAAGGCUUCGAUCAAUAGCUGGUCUGAGAGGAUGAUCAGCCACAUUGGGACUGAGACACGGCCCAAACUCCUACGGGAGGCAGCAGUGGGGAAUCUUGCACAAUGGGCGAAAGCCUGACCCAGCCAUGCCGCGUGAAUGAUGAAGGUCUUAGGAUUGUAAAAUUCUUUCACCGGGGACGAUAAUGACGGUACCCGGAGAAGAAGCCCCGGCUAACUUCGUGCCAGCAGCCGCGGUAAUACGAAGGGGGCUAGCGUUGCUCGGAAUUACUGGGCGUAAAGGGAGCGUAGGCGGAUAGUUUAGUCAGAGGUGAAAGCCCAGGGCUCAACCUUGGAAUUGCCUUUGAUACUGGCUAUCUUGAGUAUGGGAGAGGUAUGCGGAACUCCGAGUGUAGAGGUGAAAUUCGUAGAUAUUCGGAAGAACACCAGUGGCGAAGGCGGCAUACUGGCCCAUUACUGACGCUGAGGCUCGAAAGCGUGGGGAGCAAACAGGAUUAGAUACCCUGGUAGUCCACGCUGUAAACGAUGAAUGCUAGUUGUCGGCAUGCGUGCAUGUUCGGUGACCCA